AUACGUUCUCGGGGCGGGGUGAAACUCCCCACCGGCGGUAAUCAGGCGGCGUCGCCCGACGUCUUCUGUAGCCCGCGAGCGCCCGGUCUGCCUUUCAGGUGAGCCGGGGUCAGCAGACCUGGUGUGAUUCCGGGGCCGACGGUCAUAGUCCGGAUGAAAGAGAACGGGA
rnacentral:ncRNA from 2 species